rnacentral:rRNA from 1 species
UACGUAGGGUGCAAGCGUUGUCCGGAAUUAUUGGGCGUAAAGAGCUCGUAGGCGGUCUGUUGCGUCGGCUGUGAAAACCCGGGGCUCAACCCCGGACCUGCAGCCGAUACGGGCAGACUAGAGUUCGGCAGGGGAGACUGGAAUUCCUGGUGUAGCGGUGAAAUGCGCAGAUAUCAGGAGGAACACCGAUGGCGAAGGCAGGUCGCUGGGCCGGAACUGACGCUGAGGAGCGAAAGCAUGGGGAGCGAACAGG